GACGAACGCUGGCGGCGUGCUUAACGCAUGCAAGUCGAACGAUGAACCCGGAGCUUGCUCCGGUGGAUUAGUGGCGAACGGGUGAGUAACACGUGAGUAACCUGCCCUUGACUCUGGGAUAACUGCGGGAAACUGUAGCUAAUACCGGAUACGACCCUCGGCGGCAUCGCCAGGGGGUGGAAAGAAUUUCGGUCAAGGAUGGACUCGCUGCCUAUCAGCUAGUUGGUGAGGUAACGGCUCACCAAGGGGACGACGGGUAGCCAGACUGGGAGGGUGACCCGCCGCACUGGGACUGAGACACGGCCCAGACUCCUGCGGGAGGCGGCAUUGGGGAAUAUUGCCAAAUGGGCGCAAGCCUCAUGCAGCAACGCCGCGUGAGGGAUGACGGCCUUCGGGUUGUAAACCUCUUUUAGUAGGGAAGAAGCGAAAGUGACGGUACCUGCAGAAAAAGCACCGGCUAACUACGUGCCAGCAGCCGCCGUAA
rnacentral:rRNA from 1 species